rnacentral:misc_RNA from 1 species
CCGAGUUUACAACUCCCAAACCAAUGUGAACCAUACCAAACUGUUGCCUCGGCGGGUCACGCCCGGGUGCGUCGCAGCCCCGGAACCAGGCGCCCGCCGGAGGGACCAACCAAACUCUUUCUGUAGUCCCCUCGCGACGUUAUUUCUUACAGCUCUGAGCAAAAUUCAAAAUGAAUCA